CUCCGCGCCAUCCUGCCUCCCCUCUCGCGCCGCCGCCUUCUCUCCUGGCACGUUCUUCUAGGCCUAUUCCCCGGCGCUCGAGGUGCAGCAGCGGCGGUGCCGCUCCUCCUCUCGGGCAUGGCGCUACAGGAUCUGGUGGCCUCUGCCUCCCCACUGCAGGUGUGAGGUUGGGCAUUUUGGCAAUGGCAGCUACGGUUUCAGGAAAGGACGCCCAUGCCAUGUGCAAUGACAACAACAUCACAUCUCCUUCCUGUUUUAUAUUUUCAGUUUUUACAUGUUGAGCUAUAGGUUGGUUUGAUCUCCUCUGUCAGGCAGGUGUGAGGUUGGGCAUUUUGGCAAUGGCAGCCACGGUUUCAGCAAAGGAUGCCCAUACAAUGUGCAACGACAGCAACAUCAUCACAGGGAUAGGCCAUCGGC